AGUAAAAUAUAUGACGCAUAUUUAAUAUUUAGUCAUAUUAUUAAUAUCUAUACAUGUAUUCAUUAUGCACACACUUCAUACUUCCAUAACUUUCUGUUUCAGGGUUUCCAAAUGUAAUUGGGUGCAUUGAUGGCACUCACAUUCCUAUUAAAGCUCCAUCAAUAAAUGAGGGAGACUAUGUUAAUAGGAAAUCUAUUCAUAGUAUCAAUGUGCAGGUAAUAUGUGAGGCAACCCAAAUCAUCACCAAAGUCGAGGCAAAAUGGCCAGGAUCUGUGCAUGAUGCCAGAAUUUUCCGCGAGUCAUCAUUAUGCCAGACAUUUCAGCAGGGACAGUACAAUGGUUACUUACUGGGGGACAGAGGAUACCCUUGUCUGCCCUAUUUAAUGACACCCUACCCUGAACCUGAGCCUGGACCACAGACACGGUUUAACCUGGCUCACAGCCGAACACGGGCCAAGGUGGAGAUGACUGUAGGGAUCCUCAAAUCUCGGUUUCAGUGUCUGCGUGGGCUCCGGGUUAGUCCAGAGAGGGCAUGCGACAUUAUUGUGGCUUGUGUUGUGCUUCACAAUAUUGCCACUAUAAGAGGAGAGAGCCACCCUCCUUGUAUUGAGGAAGAUGGCCCAGAGGAACACCGACAGAUUUUAGAGGCCAACAGAGACGGAAGACUUUUGAGAGACAGGAUUUGUCAAAAUUACUUUUAUUAGUUUUUUUUGCACUGGUCUGCCAGGCAGUUUAUUUCUUCAUUU